CAUACAUCCACCCCCCCACCGGGGAAAGGUUCAAGGGGACACAACUGCGCAUCUAGCACUUCCACACAAAGGGGCACACAGUGAGGGGAAGCACGUAAGGGAAAAGUUUAAAAAAGACAAAAAAAACCCCCAAAGGGCCCAGGGAGAGGGAUCAGAUACCCAAGACACGGAGGAAAACAGCAGGACAGGCGAAGGGCCAUUCACACCCCCUCCCUCAGGACACACCUAUACAGAUAGGCUCACAGGAGCCGGUGAUCGUCACACCCUAUGUCGUAAACACCCACGACAAGUUAGACACAAGCAUAGAGCCUCGCGGGGGUGCUCUGGGGCUGUACACCCGCCCCGUUUGAGACACUUCUUGACGCGGCGGGUGGCCACCCCCGAUCGACCUGGCGAGAGGUAAGACCGGGAUUUUAGAUCCGACAGGUAGAAGGAUCAUGGAGGAUCAUCCUCCACUAAGUUGGGAUAAAGGUUUUAUGGGUUAUGUUAAUAGGUUACCAAUAUGUGUUGUCAUGACCUGUUUUCUUUCCUCCCCUACCCCGGCCCACGAUUUCGCUGAGACAAGGCACAUUCGGC